AUUGAACGCUGGCGGCAUGCUUUACACAUGCAAGUCGAACGGUAACAGGUUAAGCUGACGAGUGGCGAACGGGUGAGUAAUGCAUCGGAACGUGCCCGGUCGUGGGGGAUAACGCAGCGAAAGCUGCGCUAAUACCGCAUACGAUCUGAGGAUGAAAGCGGGGGACCGUAAGGCCUCGCGCGAUCGGAGCGGCCGAUGUCAGAUUAGGUAGUUGGUGGGGUAAAGGCUCACCAAGCCGACGAUCUGUAGCUGGUCUGAGAGGACGACCAGCCAAAGAGGGAGGGGGACACGGCCCAGACUCCAAGGGGAGGCAGCGGGGGGGAAUUUGGGACAAUGGGUGCAGGCCUGACCAAGAAAUGCCGCGAGCAGGAAGAAGGCCUUCGGGUUUUAACCUGCUUUUGAACGGAGCGAAAAGGCUCUCUCUAAUACGGGGGGCUCAUGACGGUACCGUAAGAAUAAGCCCGGGCUAACUCCGUGCCAGCAGCCGCCGAAA
rnacentral:rRNA from 1 species